AACACAUGCAAGUCGAACGCCCCGCAAGGGGAGUGGCAGACGGGUGAGUAACACGUGGAACGUCCCCCUCGGUUCGGAAUAACUCAGGGAAACUUGAGCUAAUACCGAAUACGUCCGAGAGGAGAAAGAUUUAUCGCCGAGGGAUCGGCCCGCGUCUGAUUAGCUAGUUGGUGAGGUAACGGCUCACCAAGGCGACGAUCAGUAGCUGGUCUGAGAGGAUGGCCAGCCACACUGGGACUGAGACACGGCCCAGACUCCUACGGGAGGCAGCAGUGGGGAAUCUUGGACAAUGGGCGCAAGCCUGAUCCAGCCAUGCCGCGUGAGUGAUGAAGGCCUUAGGGUUGUAAAGCUCUUUCGACGGGGACGAUAAUGACGGUACCCGCAGAAGAAGCCCCGG
rnacentral:rRNA from 1 species